rnacentral:lncRNA from 1 species
UCAAAACAAGAAGAAUCCAGAGGGUGAAAACUCAAAAGGGUCUGGUGAAGGAAAAGGACCAGAGCUAAAACAUGAUCUCCAAAAGGAACCAGGCAGUUCAAACAAGAAGAAACCAGCGGGUGAAAACUCAAAAGGGUCUGGUGAAGGAAAAGGACCAGAGCUCAAACAUGAUCUCCAGAAGGAACCAGGCAGUUCAAACAAGAAGAAACCAGCGGGUGAAAACUCAAAAGGGUCUUGUGAAGGAAAAGGACCACAUCUAGAACAUGAUCCCCAAAAGAAACCAGAGGGUGAAAACAAGAAGAAACAAGACGGCAAAAACUCAAAAGGGUUUUGUGCAGGAAAAGAACAAGAGCCAAGUCUAAACAAGAAGAAUCCAGAGGGUGAAAACUCAAAAGGAUCUGGUGAAGGAAAAGGACCAGAGCUAAAACAUGAUCCCCAGAAGAAACCACGCAGUCGAAACAGGAAGAAACCACGUAGUGGAAACAGGAAGAAACCAGAGGGUGAAGACUCAAAAGGGUCUGGUGAAGGAAAAGGACCAGAACUAAAAAAUGAUCUCCAGAAGGAACUAGGCAGUUCAAACAAGAAGAAACCAAGGGGUGAAAACUCAAAAGGGUCUUGUGAAGGAGAAGGACCACAGCUAGAACAUGAUCCCGAUAAGAAACCAGAGGGUGAAAACAAG